rnacentral:rRNA from 1 species
AACGAACGCUGGCGGCAGGCCUAACACAUGCAAGUCGAGCGAAGCCUUCGGGCUUAGCGGCGGACGGGUGAGUAACGCGUGGGAACGUGCCCUUUGGCACGGAAUAGCCCCGGGAAACUGGGAGUAAUACCGUAUGUGGUCGAGAGACGAAAGCUUUAUCGCCAGAGGAUCGGCCCAGGUUGGAUUAGGUAGUUGGUGGGGGAAUGGCCUAGCAAGCCGACGAUGCAUAGCCGGUGUGAGAGGAUGAUCAGUCACACUGGGACUGAGCCACGGCCCAGACUCCUACGGGAGGCAGCAGUGGGGAAUCUUAGACAAUGGGGGAAACCCUGAUCUAGCCAUGCCGCGUGAUCGAUGAAGGCCUUAGGGUUGUAAAGAUCUUUCAGUGGGGAGGAUAAUGACUGUACCCACAGAAGAAGCCCCGGCUAACUCCGUGCCAGCCGCCGCAGUAACAC